AUUGAACGCUGGCGGCAGGCUUAACACAUGCAAGUCGAGCGAGCGGCGGACGGGUGAGUAAUGUCUGGGAAACUGCCUGAUGGAGGGGGAUCACUACUGGAAACGGUAGCUAAUACCGCAUACCAUCAGAUGUGCCCAGAUGGGAUUAGCUAGUAGGUGGGGUAAUGGCUCACCUAGGCGACGAUCCCUAGCUGGUCUGAGAGGAGGACCGGCCACACGGGAACUGAGAAACGGUCCGAACUCCUACGGGAGGAAGCAGUGGGGAAUAUUGCACAAGGGGCGAAAGCCGGAUGCAGCCAUGCGGCGUGUGUGAAGAAGGCCUUCGGGUUGUAAAGCACUUUCAGCGAGGAGGCGUUACUCGCAGAAGAAGCACCGGCUAACUCCGGGCCAGCAGCCGCGGUAAUUC
rnacentral:rRNA from 1 species